rnacentral:rRNA from 1 species
UGGGGAAUAUUGCACAAUGGAGGAAACUCUGAUGCAGCAACGCCGCGUGGAGGAUGACACAUUUCGGUGCGUAAACUCCUUUUAUAUCUGAAGAUAAUGACGGUAGGAUAUGAAUAAGCGCCGGCUAACUCCGUGCCAGCAGCCGCGGUAAUACGGAGGGCGCAAGCGUUACUCGGAAUCACUGGGCGUAAAGAGCGUGUAGGCGGUUAUUUAAGUCAGAAGUGAAAUCCAAUAGCUCAACUAUUGAACUGCUUUUGAAACUGAAUAACUAGAAUAUGGGAGAGGUAGAUGGAAUUUCUGGUGUAGGGGUAAAAUCCGUAGAGAUCAGAAGGAAUACCGAUUGCGAAGGCGAUCUACUGGAACAUUAUUGACGCUGAGACGCGAAAGCGUGGGGAGCAAACAGG